GUCCGGCCCAUUAAAACAGUUUCUUAGGCUUCCUCAGCUCUGCCACUUUGCUUGUAGCCUGCCGCAAAAUCUGCCCGUGACCGGUUCUUUUGCUUUUCAGUAGAUAAACGUAUGGGUUGUUCAGCCAUUGCCAUAGUUCAAGCUCAUCAAUAACAAGGAUAGGUGCAAAAAGGCGAGGGAGCCAGUAUAAUAUAGUGGCGUCUAAAAUGUCCAGAUGUUCAGUAAAGUGUGCAUUAACCAGCUAUCUGUUGAGAGUGUUAGCUUGCCGCAAACAGCAAAGAUGAUUGAUGCUUUCUCGCUCGUCUAAACUGCAUAUUCUUCUUAGUUUUGGGCUCAGAGCACGGGCCAACAGCAAGGUAUAUAUAACUCAGUGUGUUUAUUUUCUAGUGAAUAUCAAUCUGCAGCCUCUCGCAAGAUCUGAAAAGCCACAGUCGAACAGCACAGAAACACAUACAGUCGUUGAUGGCAAUGAUCGCCAGGAGAAGCAAGAGCUCUGUACCUCUCUUGCAUGAAGUCCUCUUUUCCGACCACCCUCUUCCCUGCUCAUACACCCAGCGGCAGACCUAUGUAGAUGUGUACAUGAAAUGGAAGAAAGACUCUUUUUUUGACUCCAUUGAUACUAUUCACAGAUCAGUUCAACUCAAGCCUUUAAUUGCUCUUAAGAACUGCAUAGUCUCCUCUUCACCUAAUGAUUAUUGCAUCCCCAUUUCUGUUAUUUCGAAAAAAGGCUUAGAGUUAGGGAUACCCAUUAAGGUUGCCAGGUUCUUAAGGUUGUAUCCAUCUGUUUUUGAGGAAUUUACUGGCCCUAACUACAAUUUGCCUUGGUUUAAGUUGACCCAGAGGGCUAUUGAGCUUGAUAGAGAGGAGAGAGAGGUCUACUUAAAAUUUAAGGAUGAUAUCAUUUUGAGGCUGAAGAAGUUGAUACUGAUGAGUGGCAGGGAACAGAUGCUUCCUCUAAAGAUAAUUCAGGGUCUGCAAUGGUAUUUGGGGUUACCCGACGAAUUCUUAAGGAAACCGGAAGACAAUCUUGAUGGGUGUUUCAGAGUUGUGGAAAUAGAAGAUGGAUUGAAAGGGCUGGCUGUUAAGGUUGAUGGAAGUGAAAGGUUUUUAUCAGUGAUGCAGAUGAAUGCGAUGAAGAGGGGAGUGUAUAGUGGUGUGGACGGUGAGGCAAUAGAAUUUCCACUGUAUCCAUCAAAGGGAUUGAGGCUUAAAAGAAAAAUUGCAGACUGGUUUGAUGAGUUUCAGAAGUUUCCAUAUGUUUCACCCUACGAGGAUUAUUCAGGUUUGGAUCCAAAUAGUGACAUAGCAGAAAAACGAGUGGUGGGUGUGCUUCAUGAAUUGCUUAGUUUGUUCGUCGAACAUGCUGCAGAAAGGAAGAGGCUUUUGUGUCUUAGGAAAUACUUGGGGUUGCCGCAAAAGGUUCACAAGGCAUUCGAGAGGCAUCCUCAUAUCUUCAAUUUGUCAUUGAUGAACAAAACUUGCACCGCAAUACUAAAAGAAGCUUACUGUGAUAGAGGGGCUAUCGAGGAACAUCCAUUAGCAAAAGUUAGAAAAAGGUACAUCAAAUUGAUGAAGGAGUCGGAGGGUAUACUGAAACGUAAAAGGUUUAACAACAGGCCAAUUGAUCAGGGUGACUCGAAUAUCAAGGACUUGGAUUGUACAGAUGAUGAGGAUAAGAAAUUUACAACUUAACUCUGCUCUUUAUGCUUGUGUCACUAUAAUCAGGUGCAGGAUUUAAAAGAAAUUAUAAACGAGAAGGAAAAGAAAAUUGAAAGAACUGUUCAAGCAGGAUUUGUAGGCAUUUGGAAUGAAAUGAAAAGACUGUUUGAUCUGUAUUGCUUCAGAGGUGGAUGUUUCUCUCAUUUAUGCUGCAGUUCUUUCAUCCAUUAAGGGCGAUUUCAGUAUGAAGGGGAUGGCCACAGUCAUAUGAAGGAAUAGUCAUACUAUUAAGUAUUACCAAUGGAGCCUCAAAGUCUUGAUCAACGGAACCUCCUGUGACUUUUUGGUGUAGUUCAAAACAGAGAAGCCUCCAUUGCGGACUGCAGAAACUAUGAUGGAUGCCUAGUGCGGGUUAUCUCUCCUAUGUGGUUUGCGAGCUAUUGCAUAGGAGCAGAGUUUUACCCUGUGCGCACCCAAAGGGUAGUGGUUGCGGGUUUCCCUUGUCAUCAAAAAAGAUAGAAAUUAUACACGAACUCUUCUGCAUCAUUGAAAGCAGCAGCACAGGGCUGGCAUGAUAAGGAAACUACUUAAAGAAUUCUUGAAAAUAAGCAUAGAUCAAUAUAUGUAAUGAAAUGUAGUGUCUUAUAGUUGCUAUGUUCCUGUUUGAACUGUGCAUUACAACCAAGAUGUAAAAUUUUGUGGACCUUUUGAAUUCCCUACAUGUUUAAGAGGAACAUAAAGUCCCCUUUUUCUGUACAAUGUUGGCACCUUGUUGAUGCAAUCAAUGAAUUUAUAGCAGUAAUAAAUAAAAUUGUGAUCAUUAUGAUUCUCAGUA